rnacentral:rRNA from 1 species
GACGAACGCUGGCGGCACGCCUUACGCAUGCAAGUCGAACGGCAGCACGGGUGCUUGCACCUGGUGGCGAGUGGCGAACGGGUGAGUAAUACAUCGGAACGUACCUUAUCGUGGGGGAUAACGCAGCGAAAGCUGUGCUAAUACCGCAUACGCCCUGAGGGGGAAAGCGGGGGAUCGCAAGACCUCGCGCGAUUAGAGCGGCCGAUGCCUGAUUAGCUUGUUGGUGGGGUAAAAGCCCACCAAGGCGACGAUCAGUAGCUGGUCUGAGAGGACGAUCAGCCACACUGGGACUGAGACACGGCCCAGACUCCUACGGGAGGCAGCAGUGGGGAAUUUUGGACAAUGGGGGCAACCCUGAUCCAGCAAUGCCGCGUGAGUGAAGAAGGCCUUCGGGUUGUAAAGCUCUUUUGUCAGGGAAGAAACAGCAGCUCUAACACAGUUUGCGAAUGACGGUACCUGAAGAAUAAGCACCGGCUAACUACGUGCCAGCAGCCGCUGUAA